rnacentral:tRNA from 1 species
GGUGGAUUUAGCUCAGCAGGUUAGAGCGUCGGAUUGUGGUUCCGCAGGCCGAGGGUUCGAAUCCCUCACUCCACCC